UACGUAUGGUGCAAGCGUUAUCCGGAUUUACUGGGUGUAAAGGGAGCGUAGGCGGCCGUGCAAGUCAGGCGUGAAAGCCCGGGGCUUAACCCCGGGACUGCGCUUGAAACUGCGUGGCUGGAGUGCAGGAGAGGCAGGCGGAAUUCCUAGUGUAGCGGUGAAAUGCGUAGAUAUUAGGAAGAACACCGGUGGCGAAGGCGGCCUGCUGGACUGAGACUGACGCUGAGGCUCGAAAGCGUGGGGAGCAAAC
rnacentral:rRNA from 1 species